rnacentral:snRNA from 1 species
AUGUAUUUUGUAACUUGCAAAUAAACAAAAAUUCUAUUCUUAUCAGCUUAAUAUCUGAUACGGGUCCUAUUUGGACCCAAGAUAUUAAACUCAUUUAUGGAAUUGGGCGGAGUGCUUGAAGCUUGCUUCACCUCCGCCACGGGUUGGCCCGGUAUUUCACCGCCUCCGGGAUCGGCCCACUCACC